UGCGGAUUAGUGUAAAAGGAAACAUAUUUGGCUCAUGACCAGAAGAUGGAGGUGCGAGUCCUUUGUCCGCAU
rnacentral:tRNA from 1 species